rnacentral:rRNA from 1 species
AGGACGAACGCUGGCGGCGUGCUUAAUACAUGCAAGUCGAACGAGGUUCACUUCGGUGGACCUAGUGGCGAACGGGUGAGUAACACGUGAGCAACCUGCCCCGAAGACCGGGAUAACAGUGGGAAACCGCUGCUAAUACCGGAUACCCCCACCGGAUUACAUGGUCUGGUGAGGAAAUGGAUUCCGCUUCGGGAGGGGCUCGCGGCCUAUCAGCUUGUUGGUGGGGUAACGCCUACCAAGGCUUCGACGGGUAGCUGGUCUGAGAGGACGAUCAGCCACACUGGGACUGAGACACGGCCCAGACUCCUACGGGAGGCAGCAGUAGGGAAUCUUGCGCAAUGGGCGAAAGCCUGACGCAGCAACGCCGCGUGAGGGAUGGAGGCCUUCGGGUUGUAAACCUCUUUCAGCAGGGACGAUUGUGACGGUACCUGCAGAAGAACGCCCCGGCAACUACGUGCCAGCAGCCGC